AUAGGCGGUGUCGCUGUGCAGAUUAGUGUAUGGAGUGAAGUCGUCGCUGUUUCCUCGGUAAUUUACUUUUAACAGUUAUAUUUAUUCAUCAACUAUAGUGGUACUCUAGCUAGUAAGGUUACUCUUUGAUCUAUCUACGCUUGUGCUUGUUUCUAAACACUUUGUUCACAGCUCACCAAAGCUCGUACUCAUGGAAAACGGACUCUCCCGGAUAGAAGAAUCGAACCAGCGCUAACACAACGGAGAAAAAAGCAAACAUCAUUGAGACUGGAAGAUGUCACAUAGAGUUCCAGAUGAUUUGAAGGGAAAUGGUCAAUAUUCUUCAUUGAAGUAUGACACACAAUGUAGGAGAAACAAUUAUACAAGUUUACAAGAGACAAUGAUGCAUAUGCUGAAAUAUUGCACAUAUUUCUGUCUGUUGGAACCUAGCUGGAAGGAUGAGAAGUUUGAACAUGAACUAACAGCAUCAGUUGUUCAUCCACUGAGAAAUGUUGGUCCUUAUGUUCUUGUUGAAGCAGCUAUGCAAGACGAUGUGAUCACAAACUGGCCAUGACCUGUAGUUAGCGCAAAAGCUAGAAUAUCUUGAGCUACUUUAUGUAAUUAGAUUACGUUGCAAGUGUGCAUCAAUACUUAAUUGUAAGGGGAGACUUGUAAAUUGUUGAAACUCUCAAUGAUAUCGAAGUAGAUCUGUAAUCAUAGAGACCAUGCUGCAUGUGAACUUAAUUGGUACAAAUAUAAGUAGAAUGGAAAGUGUGUGUAUCAAUCUAUACUC